GCGCGCCCCGCCCCUCGCGCCCCGCCCCCCGCGCCCCAGCUCGGCUCGCGGGCGGGCGGCCCGGGUCCGCCCGAGUCGGCUGGAGCUGUUGCCAUGACGAGCAUUUUCGCGAGAAAGCUCUGCCGCUGAGACUGUCCGACGCGGGGGCCGAGGGAGGGGCGCGAACUUCCUGGGGACGCAUCCCUCCGCGGAGAGCGAGCCCGGGGACCCCCCGCCCAGCUCUGCUGCGCCCGUUUUCUUCCGGGACCCCGCGAGGUCCUUCCACUGGGCCGGAGCGGGACGGGCGGAGAGCGCAGCCGGCAUCUCGCGCGCGGUGGCCGCGCCGGGGCGGCCCGGGCGCCUGCCUCGCUCCGUCCAUGGAAACCCGCAGGGCGAGCGCCGCGCGGAGCCUGGACCUUUGCUAGAAAGAGCAUGGCAUGCCAAGUGGCGCCAAGUCCACACCCGGGAUCUGAACCGGUGAACCCUGGGCCGCCGAGAAGCAGAACGUGGGAACUUAACUGCUGCCCCACCAG
rnacentral:lncRNA from 1 species